rnacentral:rRNA from 1 species
GGAUAACCUACCCUUUAGGACUGGGAUAACCUUGGGAAACUGAGGCUAAUACCGGAUAGGCAAUUUUUCCUGUAAUGGUUUUUUGUUUAAAUGUUUUUUCGCCUAAGGAUGGGUCUGCGGCCGAUUAGGUAGUUGGUUAGGUAAUGGCUUACCAAGCCGUUGAUCGGUACGGGUUGUGAGAGCAAGAGCCCGGAGAUGGAACCUGAGACAAGGUUCCAGGCCCUACGGGGUGCAGCAGGCGCGAAACCUCCGCAAUGUGAGAAAUCGCGACGGGGGGAUCCCAAGUGCCAUUCUUAACGGGAUGGCUUUUCAUUAGUGUAAAGAGCUUUUGGAAUAAGAGCUGGGCAAGACCGGUGCCAGCCGCCGCGGUAACACCGGCAGCUCUAGUGGUAGCAAUUUUUAUUGGGCCUAAAGCGUCCGUAGCCGGUUUAAUAAGUCUCUGGUGAAAUCCUGUAGCUUAACUGUGGGAAUUGCUGGAGAUACUAUUAGACUUGAGACCGGGAGAGGUUGGAGGUACUCCCAGGGUAGAGGUGAAAUUCUGUAAUCCUGGGAGGACCGCCUGUUGCGAAGGCGUCUAACUGGAACGGUUCUGACGGUGAGGGACGAAAGUUAGGGGCGCGAACCGGAUUAGAUACCCGGGUAGUCCUAACUGUAAACGAUGCGGACUUGGUGUUGGGGUGGCUUUGAGCUGCUCCAGUGCCGAAGGGAAGCUGUUAAGUCCGCCGCCUGGGAAGUACGGUCGCAAGACUGAAACUUAA